rnacentral:misc_RNA from 1 species
CUUCUCCUCCACCUCUCUCUGCUCUCAUUCUCACCCACUCUCACAACAAUUAUCAGUCACAAAGGACAAAAAAGGAAGCGAAAGAAUAUCCCUAAAGUCUCGAAUCAUCUUCAUUUAAUGCAUAUCAGAAUGCUAAUUUCCUCUCUUUCUUAAAAACUUUCUUGAUUUUUUUUUCUAUCUCUAAUUCCCCCAAAGGCCCGAGCUUUCUGCAACUAUGGGGAAUCGGUUUAUUUGCAUGCUUAAAAAGGAUGCCAAAGAUAAUCACGGAUCGAGAAGCAAGAGAUUGGGUAGGUCCCAGAGAAAAUUGUCAGCCGAGGAAGAGGUCCUCCACAGACAAGCUCUCUCCAUGGCACUUCAUCAGCACCAAUUGUCUCAAAGAUUUGAUGGAUCCAUGUCCAGGAGGAUUGGCUCCACCAGCUCUCGCAGACGAAAUCUAUCUGAUCCUUUCUCUAACGGAAAACAGGGGCCAGACUUUCUGG